GCGUGAGUGAGGAAGGCCUUAGGGUUGUAAAGCUCUUUCACCCACGACGAUGAUGACGGUAGUGGGAGAAGAAGCCCCGGCUAACUUCGUGCCAGCAGCCGCGGUAAUACGAAGGGGGCGAGCGUUGUUCGGAUUUACUGGGCGUAAAGGGCGCGCAGGCGGCAGAUCAAGUCAGGCGUGAAAGCCCCGGGCUUAACCUGGGAGGUGCGCCUGGGACUGGUUUGCUUGAGAUCGGGAGAGGAGCGUGGAAUUCCCAGUGUAGAGGUGAAAUUCGU
rnacentral:rRNA from 1 species